AUGCGGGGAGUCGGAGGUCCACUGCUCACUGUCAGCGAUCUCUUGAGCGACCUCGCCGUCGAAGGAGGCGACGACCACCUCGACGGCGGAGGCGACGCCUCUGUUCCCUCUUCCCCCUUGGCAGCGCAUCAGGUGGAGGAGGCCGACCCCUCCGAGCUCCAGCGGCUCUUCGCGGAAGACUAUGACAAUUUGAUGAAGUCGCUACAGGAGAAUGACCCUUCGUGGCCUUCCCUGAUGCUGAAGUUGUGCAGGGCGUUGAAGACUUCCGAUAAGCUGCUGAGCUGCGCGAAUGUGAAAGCUGAGCAGCUGCUAGAGAAGGUGGAGAAACUGGAGCAUGUCUUAGAGAGGGGAGAUCGUGCAGUGGGAUCAAUCAUAGAGGUUCUUCAGAGCAUGCAGCUCACCGAGGAUCAUCAGACCUCCAAAUCGCACCCACCUAGCAAGUAG
rnacentral:rRNA from 1 species